UACAGAGGAUGUAAGCGUUAUCCGGAAUGAUUGGGCGUAAAGCGUCUGUAGGUGGCUCUGCACGUCCGUUGUGAAAUCGCCCGGCUCAACUGGGCGGGGUCAGCGGAUACGGCAGAGCUUGAGCAAGCUAGGGGGCAAUGGAAUUCCCGGUGUAGUGGUGGAAUGCGUAGAUAUCAGGAGGAACACCGGUGGCGAAGGCGGGUCUCUGGGCCGUUACUGACGCUGAGGAGCGAAAGCGUGGGGAGCGAACAGG
rnacentral:rRNA from 1 species